GAAAACAUGAUGAAGAGCAGAGUAGGUUUGCGGACGCUUGAAGAGAGCCCCUGGUUGGUGUGAAGAGGCAGUACGAAGCAGACUGAAGAUGGGCUUGGAAUGGUAUCGGUGAGCGAGGUGAGCCGAUAACGUGGUUGCGGACGUUACCACCGCAAGACUUUACGCAUGUGCGCAGUGUGUCGAAGUUUUUGAGGCAGCAUCUGAGAAGAUGUUGCGAAUUAAGGUGGUAACACGGUCUUGGUACCCGUCCUUUUU
rnacentral:ncRNA from 1 species